GGCCUGAUGGUCUAGUAGUAUGAUACUCCCUUCGGGCGUUUGCCCGGUCUUACUGAGGCCUUGAAAAUGGAUGGGAGUGGUCCCGGGUUCAAUUCCCGGUCAGGCCC